rnacentral:rRNA from 1 species
GACGAACGCUGGCGGCGUGCUUAACACAUGCAAGUCGAACGGAAAGGCCCUGCUUUUGUGGGGUGCUCGAGUGGCGAACGGGUGUGUAACACGUGAGUAACCUGCCCUUGACUUUGGGAUAACUUCAGGAAACUGGGGCUCAUACCGGACAGGAGCUCCUGCUUCAUGGUGGGGGUUGGAAAGUUUCGGCGGUUGGGGAUGGACUCGCGGCUUAUCAGCUUGUUGGUGGGGUAGUGGCUUACCAAGGCUUUGACGGGUAGCCGGCCUGAGAGGGUGUCCGGCCACAUUGGGACUGAGAUACGGCCCAGACGCCUACGUGAGGCAGCAGUGGGGAAUAUUGCACAAUGGGCGGAAGCCUGAUGAAGCAACGCCGCGUGCGGGAUGACGGCCUUCGGGUUGUAAACCGCUUUCGCCUGUGACGAAGCGUGAGUGACGGUAAUGGGUAAAGAAGCACCGGCUAACUACGUG